CCCCCAGGAGGGGGUCGCUCCCGUCGUAGUUCCUGCCGACCUCCAGGAGGGGGUCGCUCUCGUCGUAGUUCCUGCCGACCUCCAGGAGGGGGUCGCUCCCGUCGUAGUUCCUGCCGACCUCCAGGAGGGGGUCGCUCCCGUCCCGGCUCCGGCCGCACCGGCAUCGGUUCCUGGCGGCCCGGUUCCGGCUGCUCCUGCAUCGGUUCCUGCCUCUCGUCGCGGUGGGCCAAGGAGGACGCCGCUGGUCCCUGCCUCGUCCUCGUCUCGGCCGCCGGACUGGUGGUCUUGCCCUCGGCGCCUCCUGCUGCCCGGAUGGCGCUGCCUCCUGCGGCGACGUCCGCCUCGACUCCUCAGCCCAUUGGAUCAGCGUCCGCCUGGAGGACGUUGCCAUUCGGGGUGGCUCCCGGGGACAUCGGUCCAGCCCAAGGGCACUAAGAGUGCCACCCUGGCUCAGCGGCUGCUGAGCAGGGUCUCGCCACGCCGUCACCCUCCGUGACGGAAUCUCUGAACUUCAUGUCUUCCCUGGUCGCGGACUUUGUUGUGGACUCUUGUUUUGGCCCUCCCCCGGUCCUCCCUCCACCCACCCUGCUCAUGUACCUUGAGGGGUAGGGAUUCGGUCCCUCCGCCUGGGACCACCCUCCGCCCGCCCUGGUUUGGGGGGGGGGCUUCCGUAGGCGCCGUGGAAGGCGCCAUAGGGGGGGGGGGGUACUGUCAUGAUCUGUGUUUUUGUUCUUGUCAUGAUCUGUGUUUUUGUUCUAGCUGAUUCCUUGUCUUAUUUUGGUUCCAGGUUCCGUUUCCUGUUUUAUUUUGGUAGUCCCCCGGUCUCUGUUUUGUGUUCUAGCUUCACUCCCGAGUCAUGUCACGUCACAGCUGUUCUUGUUUCACCCGGUCGUUAUCCUCACCUGCGCUGCAUCAGUAAUCACUCACCCGUGUAUUUAGUCACCUCCUGUUCCCGUAGUCACUUGCCAGAUUGUCGUUUCGAGUCCCAUGAGUGUAUCCUUGUUUCCUGUGUUUCCUGAAUGUUCGUGCUUCUCGUGUUUUGUUCCUGUUCGCAUCGUGUAUCCUGCCCGACCCCGGAUUACCUACUUACCGUGAGUUUUUGCCUGUUCCCUGCCUGUACUCUUGCCGAGCCUUUUUGUGUUGACCUGGACCGUCUGACCGUGUCUUAAGGAAUAAAUCUUUUGUUAAUUAUAAUAUCGUCUCCGUGCUGUGCAUGUGGGUCCGCCGCCUGCCCGAGUUCCUGACACGUGGUGUGUGCACUGAUCUCCCCAGCUGGUUUUUGGUGUGCACGAUCAACAUCCAUGCUUUUUAUUUGCUUUCCCCAUUAUUUUUAUUUUCUUUAUUAUUUCAAUAAAUCGCACAAAAGGACAACUCUCUCAUCUGCUCCUUUAUGGGAAAUUUCCACCACAGAAAUUGGCGUCACGAACAGGAUCCCGCGGCAGGUCGUCUGGACGGUGUGAUCAGGGACGAUAGUCCUGAGGACUAGGGUCGCUCAGCCUCCAAACCUCUACAGCUGUUCUGAGUGGGAGGACUGCUCACCCGUCUGGAUCGCCUCUGACGAGAUCCAACGAACACAAAAUCCAACCUCUACUCGGCUCGCUCCACACGUCCCUCUGUGAAAACAUGAUGGAGACAGAUGCAGGACGUGGGUCCUUUCGUGAACAGAUGUCAACGGGGUGGAGACUGGUGAACGACUUCUGACCCCAUGUGACGUAUUCACCUACUUUGCAUACUUAAAAAAAAAACACUUUUUUUUUAUUCUGCCUGUCAUGCACAACAAACAGUGAACCUCCACAUUCUAAUGACACACUACAUGUUUUUAUGUUUAUUUUUCAGAGGACGCUCUGAGCCAACACUCAGCCUUACAGGAAGCCCCUGCUUCCCUGUGACUCACACACAGACAUGAUGUAGGUUCAAUCAGAGGAUGUGAACCAGUGGUCAUCACACCUAAAUCUGACCACAAACCAUGUAAACAACAACACCCUCUUAAAGGAAGCCAUAGAUGGUGUUACUGCAGACACCACUAAGCUACUGAAACAUUGGAUGCUACAGGCCACAAAGAGAGCCUGUCUAAAUUACAGUUUGUUCAGACUAAGGUUAUUUUCUGGGUCAUUGUAAUUACAGCUGAUGGCAAAUCCAUCUCACCCAACAGAGUUGAAGCAAUUUGAAACCUGCCUAAACCAUGCACGUAUAAACAGCUUAUCUUUUCUAGGUCCUUGUUCUUAUUGUAGGAACUUCAUUCCUAACUUUAAUGUCUCUGAGGCCCCACUCAGGGUUCUGAUGCAGACGUCUUCAUCGUCCACUUCUUCUCUCACGUGGACGUCUGAGGCUGAACAACGUUCACUGACCUCAAGCUUGCUCUUCAGUCGGCUCCUACUUUGGGUCUUCCUGAUCUGACCCUACGCGACCUUUCACUCAAACAGUGGAUGAGAGAUCAGGUUGUACGACUUCUGUUCUUUUGUCCUUAUACUUUGAUUCUUUUGAAAUAGAUCACAUCUUUCUACAGCCCGAUGGCUUAGAUGCAACACCACUUUGCUCAACAUGCUGAACGUUACUAUCACGAGGUCGUCUUGAAGUCCGGCACAUUGCUAAGACACUACUCUGCUCAGGCUGCAGAGUUGAUUGCGUUGACUGAAGCUGGUAAACUAGCAGAAGGAGAGACUGUUACCAUCUACACAGACUCCACAGAUGCUUGUGACACUUUGGUUCUCUGUGGAAGCAUAGGAAGCUUUUGAAGUCUGAUUGCAAACCUAUCUUACAUCAUGAUUAGGUUCCGCUUUGCUGGACGCUGUCCUGCCACCUACAGCUAAUGCUGUUUUUACAACAUCAUAGACAACCUUGUUUCUGCCGUCAUGCAGCUGCAGA